rnacentral:rRNA from 1 species
GACGAACGCUGGCGGCGUGCCUAAUACAUGCAAGUUGAGCGAUGAAGAUUGGUGCUUGCACCAAUUUGAAGAGCAGCGAACGGGUGAGUAACGCGUGGGGAAUCUGCCUUUGAGCGGGGGACAACAUUUGGAAACGAAUGCUAAUACCGCAUAACAACUUUAAACAUAAGUUUUAAGUUUGAAAGAUGCAAUUGCAUCACUCAAAGAUGAUCCCGCGUUGUAUUAGCUAGUUGGUGAGGUAAAGGCUCACCAAGGCGAUGAUACAUAGCCGACCUGAGAGGGUGAUCGGCCACAUUGGGACUGAGACACGGCCCAAACUCCUACGGGAGGCAGCAGUAGCGAAUCUUCGGCAAUGUACGAAAGUCUGACCGAGCAACGCCGCGUGAGUGAAGAAGGUUUUCGGAUCGUAAAACUCUGUUGGUAGAGAAGAACGUUGGUGAGAGUGGAAAGCUCAUCAAGUGACGGUAACUACCCAGAAAGGGACGGCUAACUACGUG